GACGAACGCUGGCGGCGUGCCUAAUACAUGCAAGUAGAACGCUGAAGAGAGGAGCUUGCUCUUCUUGGAUGAGUUGCGAACGGGUGAGUAACGCGUAGGUAACCUGCCUUGUAGCGGGGGAUAACUAUUGGAAACGAUAGCUAAUACCGCAUAACAAUGGAUGACACAUGUCAUUUAUUUGAAAGGGGCAAUUGCUCCACUACAAGAUGGACCUGCGUUGUAUUAGCUAGUAGGUGAGGUAAUGGCUCACCUAGGCGACGAUACAUAGCCGACCUGAGAGGGUGAUCGGCCACACUGGGACUGAGACACGGCCCAGACUCCUACGGGAGGCAGCAGUAGGGAAUCUUCGGCAAUGGGGGCAACCCUGACCGAGCAACGCCGCGUGAGUGAAGAAGGUUUUCGGAUCGUAAAGCUCUGUUGUAAGUCAAGAACGGGUGUGAGAGUGGAAAGUUCACACUGUGACGGUAGCUUACCAGAAAGGGACGGCUAACUACGUGCCAGCAGCCGCGGUAAUACGUAGGUCCCGAGCGUUGUCCGGAUUUAUUGGGCGUAAAGCGAGCGCAGGCGGUUUGAUAAGUCUGAAGUUAAAGGCUGUGGCUCAACCAUAGUUCGCUUUGGAAACUGUCAAACUUGAGUGCAGAAGGGGAGAGUGGAAUUC
rnacentral:rRNA from 1 species